GGCUCAGGACGAACGCUGGCGGCGUGCCUAAUACAUGCAAGUCGAACGAACUCUGGUAUUGAUUGGUGCUUGCAUCAUGAUUUACAUUUGAGUGAGUGGCGAACUGGUGAGUAACACGUGGGAAACCUGCCCAGAAGCGGGGGAUAACACCUGGAAACAGAUGCUAAUACCGCAUAACAACUUGGACCGCAUGGUCCGAGCUUGAAAGAUGGCUUCGGCUAUCACUUUUGGAUGGUCCCGCGGCGUAUUAGCUAGAUGGUGGGGUAACGGCUCACCAUGGCAAUGAUACGUAGCCGACCUGAGAGGGUAAUCGGCCACAUUGGGACUGAGACACGGCCCAAACUCCUACGGGAGGCAGCAGUAGGGAAUCUUCCACAAUGGACGAAAGUCUGAUGGAGCAACGCCGCGUGAGUGAAGAAGGGUUUCGGCUCGUAAAACUCUGUUGUUAAAGAAGAACAUAUCUGAGAGUAACUGUUCAGGUAUUGACGGUAUUUAACCAGAAAGCCACGGCUAACUACGUGCCAGCAGCCGCGGUAAUACGUAGGUGGCAAGCGUUGUCCGGAUUUAUUGGGCGUAAAGCGAGCGCAGGCGGUUUUUUAAGUCUGAUGUGAAAGCCUUCGGCUCAACCGAAGAAGUGCAUCGGAAACUGGGAAACUUGAGUGCAGAAGAGGACAGUGGAACUCCAUGUGUAGCGGUGAAAUGCGUAGAUAUAUGGAAGAACACCAGUGGCGAAGGCGGCUGUCUGGUCUGUAACUGACGCUGAGGCUCGAAAGUAUGGGUAGCAAACAGGAUUAGAUACCCUGGUAGUCCAUACCGUAAACGAUGAAUGCUAAGUGUUGGAGGGUUUCCGCCCUUCAGUGCUGCAGCUAACGCAUUAAGCAUUCCGCCUGGGGAGUACGGCCGCAAGGCUGAAACUCGAAGGAAUUGACGGGGGCCCGCACAAGCGGUGGAGCAUGUGGUUUAAUUCGAAGCUACGCGAAGAACCUUACCAGGUCUUGACAUACUAUGCAAAUCUAAGAGAUUAGACGUUCCCUUCGGGGACAUGGAUACAGGUGGUGCAUGGUUGUCGUCAGCUCGUGUCGUGAGAUGUUGGGUUAAGUCCCGCAACGAGCGCAACCCUUAUUAUCAGUUGCCAGCAUUAAGUUGGGCACUCUGGUGAGACUGCCGGUGACAAACCGGAGGAAGGUGGGGAUGACGUCAAAUCAUCAUGCCCCUUAUGACCUGGGCUACACACGUGCUACAAUGGAUGGUACAACGAGUUGCGAACUCGCGAGAGUAAGCUAAUCUCUUAAAGCCAUUCUCAGUUCGGAUUGUAGGCUGCAACUCGCCUACAUGAAGUCGGAAUCGCUAGUAAUCGCGGAUCAGCAUGCCGCGGUGAAUACGUUCCCGGGCCUUGUACACACCGCCCGUCACACCAUGAGAGUUUGUAACACCCAAAGUCGGUGGGGUAACCUUUUAGGAACCAGCCGCCUAAGGUGGGACAGAUGAUUAGGGUG
rnacentral:rRNA from 1 species